rnacentral:rRNA from 1 species
GGGUUGUGAGGUUAAGCGACUAAGCGUACACGGUGGAUGCCCUGGCAGUCAGAGGCGAUGAAGGACGUGCUAAUCUGCGAAAAGCGCCGGCGAGGUGAUAUGAACCUUUGACCCGGCGAUGUCCGAAUGGGGAAACCCAGUGCAAUUCGUUGCACUAUCGUUAACUGAAUACAUAGGUUAACGAGGCGAACCGGGGGAACUGAAACAUCUAAGUACCCCGAGGAAAAGAAAUCAACCGAGAUUCCCCCAGUAGCGGCGAGCGAACGGGGAGCAGCCCAGAGUCUGAAUCAGCUUGUGUGUUAGUGGAAGCGUCUGGAAAGUCGCACGGUACAGGGUGACAGUCCCGUACACGAAAGCACACAGGCUGUGAACUCGAAGAGUAGGGCGGGACACGUGGUAUCCUGUCUGAAUAUGGGGGGACCAUCCUCCAAGGCUAAAUACUCCUGACUGACCGAUAGUGAACCAGUACCGUGAGGGAAAGGCGAAAAGAACCCCGGCGAGGGGAGUGAAAAAGAACCUGAAACCGUGUACGUACAAGCAGUGGGAGCACCUUCGUGGUGUGACUGCGUACCUUUUGUAUAAUGGGUCAGCGACUUAUAUUCUGUAGCAAGGUUAACCGUAUAGGGGAGCCGAAGGGAAACCGAGUCUUAACUGGGCGUUAAGUUGCAGGGUAUAGACCCGAAACCCGGUGAUCUAGCCAUGGGCAGGUUGAAGGUUGGGUAACACUAACUGGAGGACCGAACCGACUAAUGUUGAAAAAUUAGCGGAUGACUUGUGGCUGGGGGUGAAAGGCCAAUCAAACCGGGAGAUAGCUGGUUCUCCCCGAAAGCUAUUUAGGUAGCGCCUCGUGAACUCAUCUUCGGGGGUAGAGCACUGUUUCGGCUAGGGGGCCAUCCCGGCUUACCAACCCGAUGCAAACUACGAAUACCGAAGAAUGUUAUCACGGGAGACACACGGCGGGUGCUAACGUCCGUCGUGAAGAGGGAAACAACCCAGACCGCCAGCUAAGGUCCCAAAGUCAUGGUUAAGUGGGAAACGAUGUGGGAAGGCACAGACAGCCAGGAUGUUGGCUUAGAAGCAGCCAUCAUUUAAAGAAAGCGUAAUAGCUCACUGGUCGAGUCGGCCUGCGCGGAAGAUGUAACGGGGCUAAACCAUGCACCGAAGCUGCGGCAGCGACGCGUAUGCGUUGUUGGGUAGGGGAGCGUUCUGUAAGCCGUUGAAGGUGU